AAAUCUUCCCAUAUAUCUCAAGAUAAUCUCUUUCUUUCAUACACUAAAAAGUUUCACUUCGUUUCUAGGAACUUCACUAUCUCUUUUAUGGUUGUUGGGUGUAUACAGAAAUCCAUUGAUGUCUACCUUAAAACCUCAAACUUGUAGAAGUGUGAAAGUUGUACAUCAUAAAUCUAUGGUAGAAAAUAUACUCACAAGAUUACUAACCCUUUAAUAAUACUGGUGUAGACAUCAAUGACAACAAAAAACCAGCACAAAGAAAAGAAAGCUUGAGGAAAGGCUUGGCUCGAGGAAAACAAUUUCAGAGCAAAACCCAAAAAAAUGAAAAGAAAAGACUCUCAAAGUUUAAGGGACAAGUCAAGGUUCUUCUGCUUCUCUUCUUCAGCUGGCUUCAACAAUUCCUCGCCUCUCUGCCAUAGUUCAGAAGUUGGAAACUCUACUGGAAUCCUUCCUACAUCGAACCUACCGAUGUUUUCACAUGUGGAAGUCAACGGUGGAGCAAUCAUCAUCUGAUGAUGAUUAUAAUGAUUCUCUGUUGAAGUUAGUUUUGCUAUUGCUGGUUGCUGAACUAGUGGUAUCCUUGACCAGUUGAUCUGACCAUACUCACCACCGUAAACGUUAUAUGAACUUGGCUUAUGACUCAUUGAGUGUGCCUGAAUACCCAAGGUUCUGUUGCUGUACUGUCCAUGGAACGGGACCGGAGCAAAACCAUAUGGAUGCCCGAAAGCUGCGGCAGAUGCCAUCCGUUGCCCUCGCUUUGCCAAAGUCCUUUCUCUUUUGUGGGCGUUUUGGUGACCACCAAGCGCCUGUGAGCUGUAGAAUGUUCUUUGACAGUAGUUGCAUGAGAAGAGCUUCUGUUCAGUGGAAGUUGACCCGUUAAAACUCGGAGUGACUACACCUGUCUCUAAGCAGUCGAGGAGAUUGAGUUCUUGAUUGAGCUGUGGUUGACUAGAAUCAUAUCCUGCUAGCAUAAGGUCAAGCUUUAUACCUUCCACUCCUUCUUUUUGGUCAUGAUCAUCUUCUUCUUGUGCUGCUACUGUGUCUAUGUUGUAAUUUUCUAGGCUCAGCUUUGGGGAAUCUGAAAAUUGAAGACUGGUGGAUGCAGAAAUGAUGCAUGAGGAAUCAGAUGAUCUUGGUUUUCCGCUGGAAGAAUCCAUGAGGGGCAAAGAGGGUAUAUAAUUUUCCAGGUGAUGGUUUUGUUCACUUCAAUUGUCUCUCUCUCUCACCUUAUGGAUUAAUAGCUAUAUAGCCUAAGAAAAAAAGAAGCAUAAAAGUCUAGUUUUUUCACAGAAGUGGGAGCAGAAGUUGAUGCUAUAUAAGGAAAGUAUAGACUCAGUACAAAUGCUUUUGGAGUUUGUAAUAAGUGGAGAAAAGUAGUAAGAAGAUGAGAGAGAUAGAGAAAGAGAGAUGGGAGCAACUUUCACUUCACAUCAACCUUUUUUUGGGCUGCUUUCUCCUUCAAUACACCAAUCUCUAUUCCCUAUCAUGCAUAAUCUUCUUUAACUUUUUUUUUCCUGUUCUCUCAGUCUAUUGCCUUUAUGUGCUUAAAAGUUCUUCAACAAACAAGUAUACAUGUCAUUUCUUUUUCUUAUACCCAGGUUGAUGCCAAUGACAUGUAGAGUUGGGCUUAAUUCAAGAAAGCCAUCCCAAUGAAUAUUUACUUUUUGUCUUGGACUCCUGAUUCUAAUAGGCCCCAACUCGUCUUCAUUUGGUAUAGUUUUGUAUGCAGCCGCGGAUAUGUGUAAGGAAAUUACUAAACCCACCUUAGCCCAACCUACAAAUCUUACAUAGAAUAUGUACAGUAGUAGUCACUAGUUCUAAACUAAUGGAGACUUUAUAGACUCUUUUGUAUGAGGAAAAAAGGAUUUGGAGGGGGGAACAAGACAAAAGAAAGCUUGGCAGUUCAAAAGAUCUUCUGAAACUGGGACCGGUUUUAUUUGUUUGGAUGAAACGACAACUUGUUGUAAUAUUCACGGAGUAGAUGAAGAUGACAACAAGUGACAAUGAAAUUGAAAAGGAUGCUCAAUGACAAGAGAGAGAGAUAAGGAGAGAGUGGACCAAGUGAAACUAUUCAGUUUGCUUCACAUUCACACUCUCCUUCAUCUUUAUAUCCAUUGGAAUCCUUAAUAGUUUGCCGGAUUUUAUGGUUGAAAGGCCAAUAAAUUUUGUUCUGGUUUGGGUGGGAAAACAAAGUGAAACGACAAAGCGUCUCAUCUAUGCUUGCUCGGGAUACGAAUCUUCAGUAUUUGAUUUCUCGAAAACUUUAGCAUAAAUUAAUAUGUGGUGGAAGCCGGAAAAUAUAAAAAUAGGCAAGUAAAAUCCAAAGAACUAAUUGUUAGGACAACUAGUUUAAGUAUGUUGAGUAUUUUGUCGAAUGCGACCUAUAUAUAAUUCGUGGGUCCAAUGUUACAAACGAUCUACAAUUAAAGAAAUUGUGAAAGCUGAUUCGG
rnacentral:lncRNA from 1 species